UACGUAGGGGGCAAGCGUUGUCCGGAAUCAUUGGGCGUAAAGAGCGUGUAGGCGGUCCGGUCAGUCGGUUGUGAAAGUCAAGGGCUCAACCCUUGAAUGCCGGCCGAUACUGCCGGGCUAGAGUCCGGAAGAGGUGAGUGGAAUUCCUGGUGUAGCGGUGAAAUGCGCAGAUAUCAGGAGGAACACCGAUGGCGAAGGCAGCUCACUGGGACGGUACUGACACUGAGGCGCGAAAGCGUGGGGAGCGAACAGG
rnacentral:rRNA from 1 species